rnacentral:misc_RNA from 1 species
GAAAUGCGAUAAGUAAUGUGAAUUGCAGAAUUCAGUGAAUCAUCGAAUCUUUGAACGCACAUUGCGCCCGCCAGUAUUCUAGCGGGCAUGCCUGUUCGAGCGUCAUUUCAACCAUCAAGCCCCCGGCUUGUGUUGGGGACCUGCGGCUGCCCGCAGGCCCUGAAAAACAGUGGCGGGCUCGCUGUCACACCGAGCGUAGUAGCAUACAUUCUCGCUCAGGGCGUGCUGCGGGUUCCGGCCGUUAAACGACCUUCAUAACCCAAGGUUGACCUCGGAUCAGGUAGGAAGACCCGCUGAACUUAAGC